CUUUAACCUUUCCUGGUAAGUUUUAUCCCCCAAUCCAUGAACCAGUUUAGUAGCCCUUCUCUGAACCCUCUCUAAGGUAUCAAUAUCCUUCUGAAGAUACGGUCUCCAGUACUGUGUACAAAACUGAGGUCUCACCAGUGUUCUGUACAAUGGCAUGAGCACUUCCCUCUUUCUACUGCUAAUACCUCUCCCUAUACAACCAAGCAUUCUGCUAGCAUUUCCUGCUGC